GGCCCUCAUUCAGGGCACAGGAUGGACAGUGCUUACUGAAUGAGCAGCCAGAAACCUCUAUCCGUUAUUGCCGGAACUCCUUCCAUAGACACAUACUCAGCAGUUCUGGAUACAUCCCCUCGAACGAUCCCGUGGUCUGACUCUCCACCCACUCACUGCCACCUGGCACAGUAAAGGAAUUUGACUCAGAGUAUCUAUUAAAAUGCAGUUGCUUAGCGCUGGUGAAAGGAUUGACAUCACGGGAGAAUGAAGCUCUCUAUAUAUGCAGCACAAGCACAAAAACUUCACAUACUCCUGCUACACACUAAUUAGCCUGAAGGCUGACAUGGAGGCAAC